CUCAGAGUCUCCAGUUUACAGUGUGGACUCUCCAGAAAAUCACACAGCUGCUUCACUCCUGAAUCCUGCAGCUUGUUGUCACUCAGGUCCAGCUCUCUCAGAUGGGAGGGGUUGGACUUCAGAGCUGAGGCCAGUGAAACACAGCUGAUCUCUGACAAACUGCAGCCCCUCAGUCUGAAUAAAGAAUAAAUGAUGUAGAUAAAAAUCAUUAAUAAAACAAUCAGAUGUGUUCAGGUGUUAAAUGUGUAGCUCAACAUUACUAUGUCCUGAUCAAUGAGCUUUGCCCUAAACUGAGUAGAGUGACUUUGUCAUUGUGUUAUUGUGCUGAUCCCAACAGGAUGCAGGUUAAAGACUGGAAAAUACAAAAAGUGAAAAACAGCUCUCAUAAAUAUCAUUGACAACGUGCUGCUACUUCAAUAAAGAUGUAGUGACUUCACCUCUUAAACUCUGCCAGCUCCACCAGUGGCUCCAUCAUCACUAACUCAUGUUGUGCAGCCAAACACAAAUCACUUAUUUAAAGAAUCAUGAGGGUAAAUUUAAGUUGAAAUCAAGUGUUUAAAACAGGGCUGUUCAAUUACAAAUUCAACUGGGCCGGAUUCUAAACCAGAAAAUGUUGAUGCACCAGACAUUUUCAGUCCACAGGUAGGCUGUCUCAGGUACAUUUUAAGAUAAGUGACAAACUAAGUUAAACAGACUACAUACACACAGCUUUCAUUUUAGUUUGUCUUUAAUUAUUUGCUAUUGGUCCCACUAGUGUGAUGUGCUUGUGUAAACCAUGAUUGUAAACCAUAGCGUCGGUGAAUGAGGGACAGAGCAGAUUGAAAUAUGGCUUUCUACAUGCUGAACACAUGUAUUGAUAAAGCACUGGCUUUUUACUGCUGAAGGUUUUAUUGCACUUA